AAUAAUUGCCAGUUAAAAUAGAUUUGGAUAGUUUAUUAACAAGAACAAAAUUUAAAAAACAUACUCCACUUCACCCCCCUUUGUUUCCUCAGGCUCAAUCAGUCCUUAAUUUCUUGUUCCUCUGUCUCUGCUGCAAUGAACUGUGAAGUGUUUGUUCCUUGGGUAAUGGCUAUGCUUAAUGAUCAAUGGCCGGUGAUGCUGGGAGAUCCCCUGAGACUGGAGAGCAACCCGUUUGUCCGUUACACCUCACUUCCCUCUCCUUUCAGGUGUUGGAGUGAUUUUGUGCAACCUGAGCUUGUUAGCUUGGUCAAUGUGUUUUCCUGUAAGUGAAUGCUGCUUUACAUACAGAAGACACACAGAUGAUUAAAAAAGAAGAAAAGAAGAAAAAAGCAGUGAGUGAUUUCAUUUUCAGCCUCCUGUGGCCUUCUAGGAUGCUGCACUGAAACAGCAUCUGCUCCUGUGAUGGUAAAAGUAGCUGCACAGAUGGCUCCAGCUUUGUUCAACCAUGAGCUGAGGAUCCCAGAGGCAGAACUUUCAUUAAAGUCGAGCUAGAAGGACUGCAAGAUAGCUCUCAUAAGUUAUUUUCCUCCAAGAAUCCCUCUUGGAGGGAUAAGAAGACCUCGAAAGACAAUAAUCAAGCAAAGAAAGUGGCUGAAAAAUAUACAUGAGGAAUUUUGGAAAUAAAAGAGUAUGAGCCUAUGAAUGUAUAAAUGUGGUGUUCUACAGCCACUAACAGCAUGAUGGGGGCAGCCCCAGCGCCUAUGAUAGAAAAGCCAAUGGUUCUUGCUACCAUCUGAAAGGAUGGAGCCACAGGGGAUCACCAGGCUAUCAGUAUAAGCACUAAGGGUUUUGGCAAGCCUACCACCGCUCUAUGGUUUGGGCAACAGGAGCUGAAGUAGGGCAGGUUCCUGAAGAGUGUUAGACUCAUUUAGCUUGGCUCAUGCUCAGCAAGAUCUGUUUUACUAGUUUUCCUCUUGGUACAGUACAAUUUUAUGCUUCAUUUUAACUGUAUAGGAAUUAUCUACACAUUUUGGAUAGAAUGCUGGCCAAAAAAAAUUUAUUUCUGUUGCUUCAAAGCAUAAGAGUCUCAAAAAAGCCUAUGAGGUUUCUUAGAUCUAGUGCUGAAAACGUGGCACUUGUGCACAGAUGAUGUCCUCUCCAGAGACACAGUGGCAAUGGGAUGUCAAAAAGCAACAGGACUUCCAGGGCUUUCUCCUUGCAACGUAGUGAACAGGACCUGCUUUUUCUGAAAUGUUCUCCAUUAACAGAAUACAUUUCAUCAUUAACAUUUGGCCAAUAACAUUUUUUAUUGGGUUGUCUGAAGCCUGGCUAGAAGUUUAGGCAGGCACUGAACUUACGAAUGUGGUUAAGAUUUUUAUUACAGAACUUUAAAAGCGGUCACAAAUUAUUAUAUG